rnacentral:lncRNA from 7 species
CUCGUAAGACUUGUGCUCCAGACCAUAUGCUCCUCUAACGUAAAUGAAUCUGUGCCUCUCCUUUCAUUGAGAGAUGUCAUCCUUGGCAAAACUAAGAGCAACCUCAGCUGCCCCAGUUGGGACUGUGAAAGUGGUUUCAGAGGAGAGUUUUGGAUAUACUAUUUUAAAAUGAGAAACUUAAGUUGGAAGAUGCCCAAUGAGCAACGACAAUAAGCAUCUCUUUUCUUUUAAUAAAAGAAUACUGAUGCUGUGUGUAGGUCAUGCAGAGACAGAGAGUUGUCUAAUUGAUCAGAGUAAGGAGCUAUGCAGAAUCCACAUCCUGCCUGAGAUGUGCAGAGAGCAAAAGACUGCACCCUAUUCCAGUUGUGUGUUCUUCAAGCAGAGAGUUGCCAUUUAAGUGUUCCUUCACUUCAAAGGAAUCAUAGCUGUUUAGGAGUGUGAAAUAGCUGUGAACAAGAAAGGAAAAGACCGUGGAAAGGGCCAUAGCAGAUCCAAGGUUGCAGAGGUUUUGUGUGUGUUGUCACUGGAUGCCUGAAGAAAAUGGCAGAGAGAAAGGACCGUUCCAGGGAACUGGUUGCUUUGUGCCCCAGCUGAAGGAAAAGAGGGAAGGAAGUCACUGCACAUUCCUGUUGCCUGAGGAGAACCUUGGCCAGUCUCUGCUGAGCUCAUACUACUUGGGUAUGAAAGUUCCUAAGAGAAGAGGAGAAGAUCUCUCUGUCCACCACCUCUGGAACUACACUGACCUGAUCUCCAAAAAGUGUAAAAAUAACAGUGCUAUUCUUUUGAGGGAGAAGUAUGAUAGAAGACUCAAAUAACCUUGUAGCACUUACCUGAAUAUUGCCCUGAGGGAAGUUGAGUGCUGGAUGGGACAAAUUGCUAGAGAAGAGGCAAAGAAGAGGAACAAAUGUUGAGAAAUAAAGGCUCACAUUCCUGACUGCUAGGGUAUUGGGGAACCUUCUACUAGAGCAAGGAAGGCAGCGAAGCUUGAACUAAAGAUCUGAAGCACUUUGCUGUGUCAUCUAUCUUCAUUGUCCCUUCUGGGAGCCACAGAAAUGGUACACACCCCAUCUGGGAACCAAAAACACCUAGCAACUGCAGCCUGAAUGAGGGCUUGAAAUGCUCUGCCAUUUCAUUUAUCUUCUCCGUCCCUCCUGGCAACCAGAGAAACAGUGGCUGAAGGCACACCCCACCCAGAAACCAGAGACAGCAAGUGCUGUACCCUGAGCAGAAGCCUGAAAGCAAGCCAUUCCAUUCAUCCCCUGCUUCCUGUCUGCAGCACUGUACCUGGCACAGGAGUCACUUAGAAUAUGCAAACUAGGAGGAUGGAACUUCCAGAAAUUCUCACAGAGAAAAUAUAAGGCUUCCAAUUUCCUACAGACAGUGGAACAGCUGGGCGCAAGCCAGCCUGGAGGCGUAGAGCUGGGUGCUGUCAGCAUAUUGCUAGCAUUGUAGCUCAGGGCAUUGCACAUUCUUUCCCAGAAGUCUUGUUGAAGUGCUCUUGAAUAGGAGUGGUGAAAGGUCAUGAGUAAAAGGAGUAGCUGCAGGUCUGCCAGGAAUGAUCAAAGCCAUCUUAAAGUGUGACAGAAGCAUACAUCCGAACACCCAAACUGACCUUCUGUGGAUGAGAUAUUCCCCUAACUUUCAUUGAUAUCCCCACUGGUUUUUAAACUCACCCAUGUAAGUUGGAUUAUUUGACCCGAGAUACUCUUUCAGAGUUGAUUGUGUCAGUUAUUAGAGGUUGCCAGUCCUUGGGUCUGGAGUGGUGGGGAGUUGUGAGAAGCCAUUUGGUGACUGUCAACAUCACUAUGUUAUUCCUGUCUAUCCCUAUGUAUUGGAUUGGUUCCAAUUGGACCUUAACCAAAAUUAAACGAAAUAUGUGCUUAGGCUCUUUGGUGUUUCUAAAAUCCACUUUUUUUUCUCAUGCUUUAUUCCAACCACUAAAUAAACAUUCCUUCUUUUGUGGGAGCUGCUUGUCAGUAUUAGAAGAAAAACAGGUGCCUGAAACCAGUCAGAUCUACAGGAUGAUAGGCAUUAGUACAUACAAGAUAACACUUGCCUCCUAACAAAAAGUAAAAGAAGAGCAAGAUUGCACACAAACACAAGCCUAGGAUCAGACAAGUCAGGAGCCAUAGGUGAUGUCAGUCUUGUAACACUGAAAACAAAAUGUCAGGAUUCUGGUAAAAAAUAAUGGUGAUUCCACUGUCUGCUCUGAAACUUAGAACUCUACAAAAAAAAUUAAAUAAAAUCCUUUUGAGUUUAUUUCCUUUUGAAUACAGUACAUUCUUUGCCCAACAGUAAAGUAGUAAAAUUAUAUUUGCUGACAUUUAGAAGCUUCUUUAUAAAACUUUGACCCUUGGAAGUCAGUGAGAUUUUUAUCACCUGACUUAUGG